rnacentral:misc_RNA from 1 species
UUUCCGUAGGUGAACCUGCGGAAGGAUCAUUAUUGUAUAACCGAGGUGCGAGGGCUGUCGCUGACCCGAAAGGUCGUGCACGCCCGAGUGCCCUCACACACAUCCAUCUCACCCCUAUGUGCACCACCGCGUGGGUCCCCCUUUGGCUUGUUCGGAGGGGGGCUUACGUUUUCAAACAAACUUUGUAUGCAGUGUAGAAUGUAUUUUUUGUUUUUGCGAUCACGCAAUCAAUACAACUUUCAACAACGGAUCUCUUGGCUCUC